UUUGUCUAACUAAGCUGGGCCUUGAGCCUAGCGUUAAACCACAAAGCAUCCGUGGGAGACCCCAUAGUGGAUAGUGUAUGUCAGGUAAAGCAUGUCACGGCCAAGGCCAAUGAAAAGUGAAAAAGAAAGGGAAAUGAAUGGUAAAAAUAUCAAGGGCUCAAAAUCUCGGCUAAGCUAAGUCUUCAUUCUUUAGCAAWGCAAUCUUAUACCAAUAUUGGCGAUGAAUUUAUGACUCCAGAACUAGGAAAGACACAGAUAUAGCCUUCGAGGGGGCCCUUUUGAAAUUAGUGUUUCUUUCAAACAYUGAUAAGAACGAUCAUCCGGAGAGCUGGAUAAUGAUGUCGAAUAAAGAGUUUUGAAGAAAAAAAUCAAGCAAGUAAAUGAAACUGUCAAACUAUGAAAUUUUACUUCAAUGGCUGACUUUCAGUUGUUGGCUGUCAUUCAAACCAUUCACCACAAUGGAUACGGUUUUACGAGACCAUUCUGAAUUAAUUGUUAAAAAGAUAAGCCAAUCUUUAAUGUAAGUAAAUUUAGCAUAUAAAAGUGUCCAGUCGCUUUAUUGUCAAAAUAAAUCUCGCUGACUGCACGUAAGGUCAAAAGACAGCACUAAAACAAGACCACGUGUCAUUCUUCAGUGCUGGAUGGUGUUAGAAGRGACCGACAUGACAAGAAUACCAAUUAAGAUCGCUGUUUAUAAAGAGGCAUGCAGUGCGGAAUCGUAUGACAGAAGUUCUAAAAGUCCAGCCAAAUAAAACCUCACUAAUACGACCUAAUUAAUUUGCCUUAACCGACCACCUUGGAUCAAUCCGACCAGCUCAUUCACGAAAUAAGACCUGCUGGAACAAAUGAAGGAUAUAGGCACUACUAUUUCAAUAUAGAUUAAACUGGGAUUGCCAGCUUUAGGAGUUGA